AACGAACGCUGGCGGCAUGCCUAACACAUGCAAGUCGAACGAGACCUUCGGGUCUAGUGGCGCACGGGUGCGUAACGCGUUGGAACCUGCCCUUAGGUUCGGAAUAACUCCCCGAAAGGGGUGCUAAUACCGGAUAAUGUCUUCGGACCAAAGGUUUAUCGCCUUUGGAUGGGCCCGCGUUGGAUUAGCUUGUUGGUAGGGUAAAAGCCUACCAAGGCGACGAUCCAUAGAUGGUCUGAGAGGAUGAUCAGACACACUGGGACUGAGACACGGCCCAGACUACUACGGGAGGCAGCAGUGGGGAAUAUUGGAAAAUGGGCGAAAGCCUGAUCCAGCAAUGCCGCGUGAGUGAUGAAGGCCUUAGGGUUGUAAAGCUCUUUUACCCGGGAUGAUAAUGACAGUACCGGGAGAAUAAGCUCCGGCUAACUCCGUG
rnacentral:rRNA from 1 species